rnacentral:rRNA from 1 species
GACGAACGCUGGCGGCGUGCUUAACACAUGCAAGUCGAACGGUAAGGCCCUGCUUUUUUGUUGUGCUCUAGUGGCUAACGGGUGAGUAACACGUGAGUAACCUGCCCUUUACUUUGGGAUAACUUCAGGAAACUGGGGCUAAUACUGGCUAGUAGCGCCUGCUGCAUGGAGGGGGUUGGAAUGUUUCGGCGGUUGGGGAUGGACUCGCGGCUUAUCAGCUUGUUGGUGGGGUAGUGGCUUACCAAGGCUUUGACGUGUAGCCGGCCUGAGAGGGUGACCGGCCACAUUGGGACUGAGAUACGGCCCAGACUCCUACGGGAGGCAGCAGUGGGGAAUAGUGGAAAAUGGGCGGAAGCCUGAUGCAGCAACGCCGCGUGCGGGAUGACGGCCUGCGGGUUGUAAGCCGGUAUAGCCUGUGACGAAGCGUGAGUGACGGUAAUGGGGAAAGAAGCACCGGCUAACUACGU